rnacentral:rRNA from 1 species
UACGUAGGUGGCAAGCGUUGUCCGGAAUUAUUGGGCGUAAAGCGCGCGCAGGCGGUCCUUUAAGUCUGAUGUGAAAGCCCACGGCUUAACCGUGGAGGGUCAUUGGAAACUGGGGGACUUGAGUACAGAAGAGGAGAGUGGAAUUCCACGUGUAGCGGAUGAAAUGCGUAGAGAUGUGGAGGAACACCAGUGGCGAAGGCGACUCUCUGGUCUGUAACUGACGCUGAGGCGCGAAAGCCAGGGGAGCAAACGGGG